rnacentral:rRNA from 1 species
CAGCCGCCACGGGAAUACAGAGGGUGCGAGCGUUAAUCGGAUUUACUGGGCGUAAAGCGUGCGUAGGCGGCUUCUUAAGUCGGAUGUGAAAUCCCUGAGCUUAACUUAGGAAUUGCAUUCGAUACUGGGAAGCUAGAGUAUGGGAGAGGAUGGUAGAAUUCCAGGUGUAGCGGUGAAAUGCGUAGAGUUCUGGAGGAAUACCGAUGGCGAAGGCAGCCAUCUGGCCUAAUACUGACGCUGAGGUACGAAAGCAUGGGGAGCAAACAGGAUUAGAUACCCGAGUAGUCCCUGUCUCUUAUAA